GGCGAAUCUCGGAUCGAUCGAUCGAGGUACUAGGUGGCAUCGAUGUUGUAGUUUGACGUUUACGUUUAUAAUCGCCUGGGAGAGUGAAGCUGCUGGAAGUAACAACGGGGAGCCCGUUUGUAUCACCUGAACAACCAGACUUCAAAGCAGCUUGACCAAAUCGGAGGGUGCCUCGGUGCUUAUCGUGAAUAUUACACCGACAUGAAUUACUACAAGUACACUGGUCUGUCCAAUAUGCAUUGACGGUAUUAGGUAUGGUAUCUACUCUGAAAAGGGAAUCGCUGGAGCCACAGUCCAACUAGACAGGCUUUCAAGAAACAGACAGGGUCCAUCUUCCCAAGCUGAUACCUGAUGUGUACCGACAGAAUUCUCACGAGAUACCUUACGGACAACGUGUGGUGUGUACUUCAUAGUACUCCUUCGACUACUAUCUAGAAUCAAGUCGACCGAAACAAGUUCAAACAACUCUGGCUUCAAACGAGCCGUCGAUUAGACAGACAAAACAUUCUCUCAUAUACUGGAGCACUCUGACAACUCACGACCUAUUCCUAACGAUUUCCACCGCUUAUACAUAUGUAGAGUGCUGAUUGGAAUGUGCUCGCAAUCUCAACAAUUCAGUGCUAUAAUUAUUUGAACAAUGUGUUAGAAAUUAUUCCACUUUUCCUUUCAUAAAUGUUGUAUCCACAUAUAAUCCACAGUGCUCCAAAGUUUCAGAGUUCUCGGGGUAUCAAACAAAAUUAUUUCAAAUACAGUGAAAUUGUUCGUGGACAUUAUAACGUAACUAAUUUACGUGUAGUUCCCUGGUCCUUUUCUUUGCUAUAAAUUAAUCCUUUACUCUCUA